AAAAAAAAAAAAAAAAAAGGCUCCAAGAUAAACAAGUUUAAAGAUUUAACAAAUAAGAAAUAUAGAAUUAUGUACCAUAUUUGAUACAGGGUUUAUUUGGGAUAUUAUAUAGGUUCUAGUCCUUUCAGACUUCAGAGUUAUUUAUUCAAAUAAUUGUUGUUGGUUUUUUUUCCUGUGUUGAAGGAUGUUUCUAGGUAGGGGUGUGCAAACGGUCGGUU
rnacentral:misc_RNA from 1 species